rnacentral:ncRNA from 2 species
GGGGCGGGCCGUGACUGGCGUUCGGGUGGAUCACCACCGGGGAGCGGCCCGGCGUACACGCACCUCCCGUACGUCGACUGCCGCGCGCCUGGGCGACCGCG